GACGAACGCUGGCGGCGUGCCUAAUACAUGCAAGUAGAACGCUGAAGGAGGAGCUUGCUUCUCGGAUGAGUUGCGAACGGGUGAGUAACGCGUAGGUAACCUGCCUGGUAGCGGGGGAUAACUAUUGGAAACGAUAGCUAAUACCGCAUAAGAGUAGAUGUUGCAUGACAUUUGCUUAAAAGGUGCAAUUGCAUCACUACCAGAUGGACCUGCGUUGUAUUAGCUAGUUGGUGGGGUAACGGCUCACCAAGGCGACGAUACAUAGCCGACCUGAGAGGGUGAUCGGCCACACUGGGACUGAGACACGGCCCAGACUCCUACGGGAGGCAGCAGUAGGGAAUCUUCGGCAAUGGACGGAAGUCUGACCGAGCAACGCCGCGUGAGUGAAGAAGGUUUUCGGAUCGUAAAGCUCUGUUGUAAGAGAAGAACGAGUGUGAGAGUGGAAAGUUCACACUGUGACG
rnacentral:rRNA from 1 species